UUCGGGGUUUAUAAAGAAUUUUGAUAAGCUUGUCUUGCUUAGGGGUUGUUCUUUGUGU
rnacentral:tRNA from 1 species